rnacentral:lncRNA from 1 species
GAAUACCCCAAUGCCAUAGCGGAGAAAAACGCCGACGGGUGGAAUGAAGAUGGCGAGAAGGACUUCGAUGAAUGUGGCUGAACCCAUUCUCUUAGGUAUUCGAUCUACUUGUCCUCCUCCUAGCAUUUCCUCUUUCCUCUUUCCUCACCUCUUCAACUGCCGCCUUUAAAUGAACUUCUAUUUUCUACUACCACUUCCUCAUUUCUCUCUUCUUUCUUUUACUCCUUCCCUUCCAUCUUUUUCUUUUUCCCUUAUUAAAUCUUAAAUUACAAUAAUAGAAAGUUUACUAUGAAAAUAUGUUAUUUUCUCAAUUAAAAUAUAAUACAAAUCACUUCCCAAAAAAAAAACAAAACAAAACAUAAAUUUGUAAUUUUAAGAGUAGGGGAACAAUAUACUUAAUUCCCAAUUCAACUUUCUCAAUUCUUACACCUUACUCUAUUAACUCAUUUAUCUACAGGCUCGAGGGGUUUCCCUACAACCACAUAACAAUUUCGAUAUUCAGAGUAAUUUAAUCCUAGAGAAUUUACACCUGUACGGUGUUAAUAUUAUAGCAAAGAUUGUUGUUCAUGUAAAUCAUUUAAUGGAAUCAAUUAGUAGAUGGCAA